rnacentral:rRNA from 1 species
UACGAAGGGUGCAAACGUUGCUCGGAAUUAUUGGGCGUAAAGCGCACGGUAGGCGGCUCUGCAAGUCGGAUGUGAAAUCCCUCGGCUCAACCAAGGAAGUGCAUCCGAAACUGCGGAGCUUGAGUACUUAAGAGGAUCGCGGAAUUCCCGGUGUAGAGGUGAAAUUCGUAGAUAUCGGGAGGAACACCAGUGGCGAAGGCGGCGAUCUGGGAAGAUACUGACGCUGAGGUGCGAAAGCGUGGGGAGCGAACAGG